UACGGGGGGGGCAAGCGUUGUUCGGAAUUACUGGGCGUAAAGGGCUCGUAGGCGGCCAACUAAGUCGGAUGUGAAAUCCCCAAGCUUAACUUGGGAACUGCAUCCGAUACUGGAUGGCUUGAAUCCGGGAGAGGGAUGCAGAAUUCCAGGUGUAGCGGUGAAAUGCGUAGAUAUCUGGAGGAAUACCGGUGGCGAAAGCGGCUUCCUGGUCCAGCACCGACGUCAGGCACGAAAGCGUGGGGAGCAAACAGG
rnacentral:rRNA from 1 species